rnacentral:rRNA from 1 species
GCGAUCAUACCAGCGCUA